UUCCGUGUUUCGUCUGACCAAUGGAAUUCUCAUAACUCACUGGAAAGGUGGAACAUGGAAC
ensembl:miRNA